ensembl:lncRNA
UUUAGUCUACAUUUGUUCAGUGUGUUCUCUGCGUUUCAAAAUGGCUCCUUCACACAAAGGAGAACACUGUGCUGGAAAAGUUCCUGCGCCAUCACUGGGUGAGGCUCGAUCUUUCCAGGACAGUAAUGUGUCCUACGAGCCACUCAGUUCGUAGGAUCGUAGAGAAAAACAUAGCUUCCAUUUUAUAACUCAUGUAUGGGAUAGACUUCUAAACUAGAAAAACAGAGAAAGAAAUCAUUUCGAUAUCUGUGUAGAAAGGCAACAUUAGGCAUACUCCGUCUCGUCGACUUGAGGCAGCUGCGGGCGGCUGACCGGUCCAAACUGGUUUUGGCAGCAACGACAGACAGUUGCCACGCGAGCUCGCAAGCUGCACCCCACUGCCAUAUAAGGUCAUAUAAAACAACGUUAAAAGAACGCAGAUAUUUUUCCUCAGGACACUGAAAGAGAUCCGUGGUCCUGCGUCUUCCUUGCAUCUGUGGCUGUCUAUUCAAGGACGUGGUUCGAAUAGAUUUUGGUGUUGACAAGCCACGGAUACGCAACACCCAAGAAGGAAGUAAUUUAUCCCAUUCACUAAGGGAAAACGAAGACUGGGAAACUGGGGAUAGUGUGUGUCAUUUAAUUCUUCCUGCGAUGUAGGCCUAUUCUUAACCUGAACAUUUUGUGGAGCCUAACGUUAUUGCGCAAUCUUUGUUUGCUUCCCGUGGCGUCGACCCCAUAAACCGCGGGCCACGUCAUUUUAUUUAGCUGUUGAUCUGUGUGUCUUUUCCAAAACAAAAUGCCAAUUGUGUAGACGUGGCUUUAAGUGACCGUUACGUCUCAUAGGUGAAGGGUUACAAAGCUGUUUACAGGGUUAUUUUUAGGCCUUCCCCACUCCCUAGUGGGUUGGGCCAGCAUUACGCAAAUUCAGACUGGAAAGAAUUAAGGCUGGAAUAUUCCACAAAGGAGAGGAGUGGCCCCGUUCUGCAGUACAAAGUUCUCCUGCUCUCUCCUCUCGACCAACAGCCCGCAGGUACUGGUUUGCUUUUCCUGCUAAAGCCGACAUACGAGAAUAAAAAUACAAUUAAAGUGCAUAGUUAGAUUGGCUCCCAAACCAAUUGUUUAUAGAUGUUUGUAUAGUCUACAGGGGUGCUUGCUCUGCAGAUCUGCCCUCGUGAAGAACAGUGGAUUCAUUUAAUCAGUGAUCUUUUAAUAUUCUGAAUUGUUGAGGCUACAUGGAGUAUUUAAGGAUGCAUACAGGCUGGACAACGACGUUCUUCUACGACUUCUUAUUGUUGAGGUCUGGUGUGGUCGAUUUAUAAGGAUUGACUAUUGUUGAAUGCAUUUUGCAAUGUCCUGAAUCUGUGUAUAUUAUGUGAAAAUAUAUCUUUACGUCCUUACAAUUUGCAUUUUUUUUCAGUAUUUUGUAUUGCGUAGGGUUAGGUGUGCACAAUUACCUUUUGAUUUUACUGUUUUAUUGUCAUUAAAUUCAGGAAAUAUUGUAAUAAAAUAGGCUGAACAACAAAUUGCUCUCUUUCCUGUUGUAAGUAUCAAGAAAAUCAAAACCCAUCAAUUUACUUCUGAUGUUACAGCUGUUCAAAUGAAAUGCAUGGUUGUAAAUGUUAUAGCCUUCUAGGAAUAUAACUGUCG